ACCUAAGCAUUGGUGAAAGAAAAGGGUAAAUUGGCAACAAAGACAGUAGCAGAGCAGUGAGGAGUGUUGCCACUGUCUUUCAGCUUCUUCUUGUUUCCCAUUCUCUGAUAGUGUAUAAUGGGAGCAGAGAAUGUUAGCAUAGUGCAUAAUGGCAGUAAAUUAAGACAUCUUCAGGUUAUGUAAAAAUAUGUGAUCUAUUUAUUUGUUCGAUAUAAUUAAUAUUAGUAUACUUGUUAUAGAGUCCUAGAUUAAAGUAAAAUGGAAGCUUAACCACAUUGAUGAGGAGGUCUUAGGAAUUUCUACUCCAAGCUCUUUGAUAAUGUUGCACGCAAAUCAUUCUCAAUGUUAAUUUUGUGGUAAACAUCUUAUGAAUUAGAGAAAUGUUUAAGGCACAAUUAUUAAUUUCAUUCAAAAAAUCCCAUUGGCAGAAUAUGCAGAAAAGUUUUGGGGCUAUAUCAUACACACACUCAUGUGGAGAGAAAUCUAACAAGCCCGAAUAUGUAUUUAAAAAAUAGAAUAUAAUCAUUUACAUAAUAUUUUAGAAGAAAAUUCGAGUAAAUAAAAUCGUUCAAACAACCACAAGCUUCAAUUGUGAAGCAUUCUAUUUCGCUUCCAACUUCCGAGCCUUGAACCAGGGAGGAGCCAUGAUUUCACUCCAAGGAGGGAAAGACUUGAAUACCGAAAAAAAGUGCAACCAAAGCAAUAAAACAAUACUAUAUAAAUGAAAAAUGUUUUUAAAAUUGUUGCCUGCAGGUUUUCAGAGCUUGUAACAAGUUCACCUAGUAAACUGGUGUAAUGGAUUAGAGUAGUUAAUCUUCAUCAAUGAUUUGAUUAGAUCACACUCCAUGAUAGUAUCUUGAUAUGUGAAACAUCUUAAGCCAAAAGAAAUCCCCCAAAAUCUGAAAACAGGAAAAACCCAGAGUAGGAAUUGCAGAAAUCGUGUUUGAUUCUUCAAGAUGAUGAACAAAUCCAAUAGAAGUGACCAUCCUCUAAUUUUUUAGUGAAAUAGCUAUUGAAACGAAGAUGCAAUUAAUGCAAGAUUGAUGUGUGCUCUGGUUUAUAUUUUAGUUACAAAAGGUGUAUAGGAGUAAUUAUAGGAAAUGGUAAUUAUAAUGAUUUUUUAUGUAUUAUAUCAGUACAAUCUAUAAGAGUGAAUAAAAAUUCACUGUUCACACUUUCGUCCAAAACGGUGUUGUUGUGGACAAAUGUAAA
rnacentral:lncRNA from 1 species